rnacentral:tRNA from 1 species
AAAAGUUUAGUUAAAACAUAACAUUAACUUGUCAAGUUAAAAUUAUUAAAAUUAAUAACUUUUA